rnacentral:rRNA from 1 species
UACGUAGGGUGCGAGCGUUAAUCGGAAUUACUGGGCGUAAAGCGUGCGCAGGCGGCUUUGCAAGACAGAUGUGAAAUCCCCGGGCUCAACCUGGGAACUGCAUUUGUGACUGCAAGGCUGGAGUGCGGCAGAGGGGGAUGGAAUUCCGCGUGUAGCAGUGAAAUGCGUAGAUAUGCGGAGGAACACCGAUGGCGAAGGCAGUCCCCUGGGCCUGCACUGACGCUCAUGCACGAAAGCGUGGGGAGCAAACAGG